GCCGCGAUGCUGAAAUUGGUAGACAGGCACGGCUUAGGACCGUGUGCCUGAAAAGGCAUGGAGGUUCAAGUCCUCCUCGCGGCA
rnacentral:tRNA from 1 species